CGGGUGAGUAAUGUAUGGGGAUCUGCCUGAUGGCGGGGGAUAACUACUGGAAACGGUAGCUAAUACCGCAUAACGUCGCAAGACCAAAGAGGGGGACCUUCGGGCCUCUUGCCAUCGGAUGUGCCCAGAUGGGAUUAGCUAGUAGGUGGGGUAACGGCUCACCUAGGCGACGAUCCCUAGCUGGUCUGAGAGGAUGGCCAGCCACACUGGAACUGAGACACGGUCCAG
rnacentral:rRNA from 1 species